rnacentral:rRNA from 1 species
GACGUAGGGCGCGAGCGUUGUCCGGAUUUAUUGGGCGUAAAGAGCUCGUAGGCGGCUCGUUGCGUCGGCUGUGAAAACCCGCAGCUCAACUGUGGGCUUGCAGCUGAUACGGGCGGGCUGGGAUUCGGUAGGGGAGACUGGAAUUCCUGGUGUAGCGGUGAAAUGCGCAGAUAUCAGGAGGAACACCGGUGGCGAAGGCGGGUCUCUGGGCCGAUAUAGACGCUGAGGAGCGAAAGCGUGGGGAGCGAACAGG